rnacentral:rRNA from 1 species
GACAGAGGAGGCAAGCGUUGUUCGGAAUCACUGGGCUUAAAGCGCGUGUAGGCGGCUUCGUAAGUGUCUUGUGAAAUCCCACGGCUCAACCGUGGAAUGGCUGGGCAUACUGCGAGGCUUGAGGCAGGUAGGGGUCACUGGAACUCUAGGUGGAGCGGUGAAAUGCGUAGAUAUCUAGAGGAACGCCCGGGGCGAAAGCGGGUGACUGGGCCUGUCCUGACGCUGA